CCUACGGGAGGCAGCAGUGGGGAAUAUUGCACAAUGGGGGAAACCCUGAUGCAGCGACGCCGCGUGAGGGAAGAAGUAUUUCGGUAUGUAAAGCUCUAUCAGCAGGGAAGAAAAUGACGGUACCUGAUCAAGAAGCCCCGGCUAACUACGUGCCAGUGGCCGCGGUAAUGCGUAGGGGGCAAGCGUUAUCCGGAUUUACUGGGUGUAAAGGGAGCGUAGACGGCAGCACAAGUCUGAAGUGAAAUGCCGGGGCUUAACCCCGGAACUGCAUUUGAAACUGUGCAGCUAGAGUGCAGGAGAGGCAGAUGGAAUUCCUAGUGUAGCGGUGAAAUGCGUAGAUAUUAGGAGGAACACCAGUGGCGAAGGCGGUUUACUGGACAGUAACUGACGUUGAGGCGCGAAAGCGUGGGGAGCAAACAGGAUUAGAUACCCUAGUAGUC
rnacentral:rRNA from 1 species